rnacentral:rRNA from 1 species
UACAGGGGGGGGCAAGCGUUUGUUCGGAAUUACUGGGCGUAAAGGGCCAGUAGGCGGCCAACUAAGUCACACGUGAAAUCCCCGGGCUUAACCCGGGAACUGCGUGUGAUACUGGAUGGCUUGAAUUCGGGAGAGGGAUGCAGAAUUCCAGGUGUAGCGGUGAAAUGCGUAGAUAUCUGGAGGAAUACCGGUGGCGAAGGCGGCAUCCUGGACCGACAUUGACGCUGAACGGCGAAAGCUAGGGGAGCGAAACGG